GUCAGCUGUCUACAAGGCAGGAAGAGAAACCUCACCAGGAACCGAGCAGCCAGCACUUUGACCUUAGACUCCCAGGCCCAGAACUUGUCUCCUCGUGUUAGUAUUCGGUCUGCUUUGUCUGGUGACUUCCUUGCAACCCGUCCCUCCUCACACAUCUCAGGUUCCUGGUCCCCAGCACAGCUGCCAGAGACAACACUGGAUGACAUCCCUGAACUGGACAGACCUAGCUUCAGAACACCCAACACGCUCCCAAAGUUAUUCUGAUGGAAGGCACUUGUGUGCCUUUACGUGGGGCCAUUUUGGGCACACCUUUCCUAUGCUCUAGUCCUGGAAUUGC